rnacentral:tRNA from 1 species
GCCUUCGUGGUGUAGUGGUCUGCAGGCUCAACGCGUAACGGAGAGGUCCGUGGUUCGAUUCCCGGCGAAGGCG